rnacentral:rRNA from 1 species
UACAGAGGUCCCAAGCGUUGUUCGGAUUCACUGGGCGUAAAGGGUGCGUAGGUGGUGGGGUAAGUCCGAUGUGAAAGCUCCGAGCUCAACUCGGAAAUGGCAUUAGAAACUACCUCGCUAGAGGAUUGGAGGGGGGACUGGAAUUCUCGGUGUAGCAGUGAAAUGCGUAGAUAUCGAGAGGAACACCAGUGGCGAAGGCGAGUCCCUGGACAAUACCUGACACUGAGGCACGAAAGCUAGGGGAGCAAACAGG